GAUGAACGCUAGCGGCAGGCUUAACACAUGCAAGUCGAGGGGUAUGCUUCUUCGGGAGCAGAGACCGGCGCACGGGUGCGUAACGCGUAUGCAAUCUGCCUUUUACAGGGGGAUAGCCCAGAGAAAUUUGGAUUAAUACCCCAUUGUAUUAUAGGGUGGCAUCACCUUAUAAUUAAAGUCACAACGGUAAAAGAUGAGCAUGCGUCCCAUUAGCUUGUUGGUAGGGUAACGGCCUACCAAGGCUACGAUGGGUAGGGGUCCUGAGAGGGAGAUCCCCCACACUGGUACUGAGACACGGACCAGACUCCUACGGGAGGCAGCAGUGAGGAAUAUUGGUCAAUGGGCGCAAGCCUGAACCAGCCAUGCCGCGUGCAGGAUGACGGUCCUAUGGAUUGUAAACUGCUUUUGUACGGGAAGAAACACUCCUACGUGUAGGAGCUUGACGGUACCGUAAGAAUAAGGAUCGGCUAACUCCGUGCCAGCCGCCGCGGUAACAC
rnacentral:rRNA from 1 species